UGUUCAUAUAAAAAAAAACCAAGUCAAGAUAUUCGAGCUUUAAUGAAAAAUUUAACAUUACAUGUAAAUUAACUUAAUCAGCUUUGUUAUGUUAAUUUUGUUAGCGAUGAUGCAAAAAAUACAUAGCUGAAAAAAGAUGAAGUGAAAUGAUGACUGAAGAAAAAAGUAUAGAGGACGUGUCAGAUUCAUCGUACACUACAGUUGAGUCUUCCGAUUCAGAACCAGAUUCAUACAAUAUCAACAAAUAUAAUAAAGGAAAAUGGUGUAAAUCACGAGAUUGGGGUGCAUUGGCUCAAAAGCAAAAACGUAAAAAAGGUGAAUUGGAUUUUCAAAUCCCUUUGAGCAGGAAUGAAAGUGAAAAUGAAUAUGAAAACCUAAGCUAUUAUGGAAAUGAACCGACUUGGAAUGCAAUUUCCUCAAAACCGAACCGAAUCAUAUCAAUCACGGCUAGAACAGAGUCGCCGAAAGUAGGCAUACUCAAAGACACAGAAGGUUCGAAAGCAAAUAAACUACGGAAUCAUAAAGUACAAUUAAAAGAAAAAUAUGUGGGUCUAAACAUGUUGAAAAAACCUAAGAAAGGCCCUCAUAAAGUGAUAAAAGUGAAUGAGGCGGCAAAAAAAAUGCACAGGCAAAAAGUGAGUGAAGGAGCCAAAGAUUUUUUAAUAGAAAAUGAUAAUUUGGAAGAAAACAGUGUGACAACUACAAAAGCAUUAAAACCUAAUGGCCCAUCGAACAAAAAGAGUAACAGAGAUAAACUUUUUUUUACAAGGCAUAAACCUACGACAAGUAGAACUAACCCAACUGCUUUUUCUGACUCUUCAUCUUCACACUCACCGAUUCCAUCGGUUUCAAAAAGACACCCUGCACGAAAAUCACCGGCAGCAAGAAAGCAUUCAGUAACGAAGAAAAAAACUGACAAGAAAAAAAGCAACGAGAAAAACAUGCAACUAAAACUGAAGAUCUCAUCAGUUAAUAUUGAAAGGGAAUUCAUUAAGGGGAAAAAGCCAAUCAACCCCAAGCGAGUUUCUUUUCAGCCUGAUAUGGUAGAAGUGGUGUCAUUUAAUGAUAGCGAAGACUCAAAGGAAUAUGAUGUUUCUAAGCAUGAUCAUGCGAAAGAGAUCAACCAAAGAACAGCAUUAGAUAGCAAGGAAAACACAAAGAAACUUGGUGCUAUGACACCAGAGAGGGCAGAAAGGAUUAAAAAUUUUUACAAAGAUUGGGCGAAAAAACCCAGAAGAACUGAAAACAUGAAGCAGGAAAAGAAUUUUUUGGCCUUGAAGAAAAUUGAAAUCAGGCACAAUCCAUUCUAAAUCAUUUUUAUACGAUUACAACUUCAUAAACCCAGUUAUUAUAUAUCAAGAAAAAUCAUUUAUUGGCUGCUUAUAAUACCUGGAAAAUGUAUUUUCUCUUAGAUUGACCUGGGGGGUAAGGAAAAAUAUUCUCCUGAAAAACGUCCAUGACAUCUAGCAUAGAUGAGAUCUAAAACCUAACUUAGAUGUAGGUUGGAGAGUAUUAAGGUUCCUGCUCCAAAACAAGAAGUUAGAAGAAUUAAUGGAAUAAGCACUUGGAAUUACAAAACCCUGCUGUUUUGAGCUUCAUUCUUAGUCACUUUUUACUUUUUUAAUAAAAUAUGUAAUGUUA